UAGGGAAUCUUCCACAAUGGACGCAAGUCUGAUGGAGCAACGCCGCGUGAGUGAAGAAGGCUUUCGGGUCGUAAAACUCUGUUAUUGAAGAAGAACGUGUGUGACAGUAACUGGUCAUGCAGUGACGGUAUUCAAUCAGAAAGUCACGGCUAACUACGUGCCAGCAGCCGCGGUAAUACGUAGGUGGCAAGCGUUGUCCGGAUUUAUUGGGCGUAAAGCGAGUGCAGGCGGUCUUUUAAGUCUGAUGUGAAAGCCUUCGGCUUAACCGAAGAAGGGCAUCGGAAACUGGGAGACUUGAGUGCAGAAGAGGAGAGUGG
rnacentral:rRNA from 1 species